AUGUCCAGGAGACGCGCAGAAGGAUUAUUGGAAAAAUAAUUGAAUAGACUGAGAUCAUGGCGAUGGCACUGUAUUUAUUAUAUGGCAUUAUGGUUUGCAUAUCAGGUCUUGCUGCAGUUGAUGUUUUACAUCAGAAAGAGUCAGAAAUUCAACAAGUGGGAAACUCCAUUCAGUUACAAUGUGAUGUCAGUGGUUAUGAUAUAAACAAUCACCAUUUGCACUGGUUACGAGAAACUCCAACAGAAGGCCUUGUGUGGAUUUCAGCAUUUAGGACAGGAUACAGCACUUACAUUGCAGACAGUUUCAAGGGAAGAGUCACACCAUCCACAAGAGGAUCCACGGGUUUGUUGAGGAUUGACAACUUACAAUACCCAGACAGUGGCACAUAUUACUGUGCAAGGCAAUCACUGUGA